GGGACCCGGUCUAUAGGAGCAGGUCAACAACUCCAGCGACACAACGGCUAAUUACGAAUAUUCUAGAAUAAGCUAUCAUGACCUUAAUUAAUGACCAUCCAUUUCUAACACAACGCAAAAAAUAUACGAAACGUAUCAAAGAGCUGCAAGAUGCUAUCCGAGACCCCAGGCACGAGCUGGAGGAGGUCCAGAAAAAAAAACUGCGUGCUGAGGAAAAGUUACUUCAGUGGUACCGUCAACAUGUCCCUCGUAUCUAUUGCGUUGGCUCGGUUAACAUAAGUUAUAAUUAGGUUGCCUUAGGUUUAAAAUGUAAAAAACACGGUUUUGUCUCAAACAGUCUGAUCAAGGUGAUGCCUCUGCCCCCCCAUCACUUAAUUGAAACAUGUUGACCAGGGACUGAACGGCACCAGCUUGGCAUCUUUUUACUCACCAAAUACCAGGAAGUGCUUUGUACUACAGCAAUUAAAUGAUAUAAUACAACUUCAUUGUUUGAACAAAGUUAAGGAGCUGCCAGUAAGAAGCGCUUACAAAUGAGUGACGUCAAGAGAAGAAUGGGACCCGGUCUCGAAUCCCGUUAAAGGCAGGCCAACAAUUCCAGCGACACAACGGCUAAUUGCAUAGAAUAAGCUAUCAUGACCUUAAUUAAUGACCAUCCAUUUCUAACACAACGCAAAAAAAUAUAUGGUAGGUUCAACGUGUGUUACCCGUGCUAGCUAGCUGCUAACAUUAGCUGAAUUUGCGAGGUUUUCAUGUCGGUGGAAAUACGAAAGUUACGCAUUGUCAAGGGAAAUUAACCUUAAUACAAAUAAACUGUACGGAAGCUCGACAACAUUACUCUAAAUGUUAACUUUUUGUGCAACGGUGUGUUAGUAGCUGUAAUACCUCUUGUUAAUUUGCAGAAACGUAUCAAAGAGCUGCAAGAUGCUAUCCGAGACCCCAGGCACGAGCUGGAGGAGGUCCAGAAAAAAAAACUGCGUGCUGAGGAAGAGUUACUUCAGUGGUACCGUCAACAUGUCCCUCGUGUCUAUUGCGUUGGCUCGGUUAACAUAAGUUAUAAUUAGUUCGCCUUAGGUUUAAAAUGUAAAAGACACGGUUUUGUCUCAACCUGUCUUAUCAAGGUGAUGCCUCUGCCCCUCCCCCCAAUCACUUAAUUGAAACAUGUUGACCAGGGACUGAACGGCACCAGCUUCCUUUUUACUCCAGGAAGUGCUUUGUACUACAGCAUUACAAAAUACUACAAUAUUUCACUCUUCAAGGAAAAGGGUUGCAUGUGCAUGUGUGUGUUUCAGUAAAUCAGCGAUGGGUGAAAUGCAGAGACUAAUUUCCCAGUUUGGGAUUACUAGAGUGAAUAAAAUAAAAAAAAAUCCCAUCCUUUUUACAUGAUUAACCUGAGUUCCUCUUAAUGUCCACACCUGUCAUCCAACGCCUUUUAGCCCCACUUAAGUUUUGCCAGUCAAUAUAUGCUAUUAUAUUGUACUGUCUUGACUUUGUUCAGUUCACAUUUGAAUUAUGAGACCUGUUCUCACUUGCAGUAACAGAGAAAUUGAGCUGAGAAUGCAUCUGAUAAAGGACAAAAUUGGAGUUGUUGAUAUGCUGCAGCAACUGGCCAUGAACUGCUGCAAGAGGAAAAGGAUCGGUCUGAACUGAAUGGUCGAACCUCUGCGGACAGGUCAUGUGCUGUGCUUUGUGCUUAGGAUACACAGGAUGCCCUUUCAUCAAUAAAAGUUGAUUUCACUGCAUAUUUAUUGUCUUUCAGAAGUCAGAGGAAGAGGGAAAAAGUCAGUUUGUCAAACAAGGCAAGAAGCCUCGCUGCUGAAAUUCUGGAGGUGAAACAAUGCCUGGCAGAGGCCAAGGCUGGUAAUGUGGCAGCACAAGCUUUGAUUGAUGCACCAACCAGCAAAUCAAAGAGAAAUCAGAGCAAACCCAUGUGAAUCAAAACUGAAAUGUUUUCUAGGUAGAUUGGCACAUUUUGUUUUUAUUUUAAUUUUAUAGGUAUAAUCAAUUGUGUAUAUAAUUUGUUGCGCCAAAUAAAGUGUUUGAAUUGA